AAGAUUUAAUAUGAACUACAGUUAAGAUUGGCCACUGUAACCAUCUUAAUAUCCAAAUUAAAAAGUUAAAUGUAUACUGAGCAUGUUCCCAUAGUCAAACUAUGGGUGUUACAUACCAGAGAAUACUGGUUUACUAACAACUUUAAGACUGCCCUGUGGUUUUUUGGCUUUUGAGAGUGAGGUUUAUUGGUUGUGACAUAGGAUUAAAUCUGAGCAUAUAUGAUUACAAUUGUCCAUAUGGCAAAUCUUGGCUUUCAAAAUUCAAAGUGAAAGACAAAGCAGAAACUGCUCCUUUGCAAAGCAAAGUGAAAAAAUAAAAAAAUAAAGUAUCAUAUCUCAUUUGUACAUUUUGUUCCCUUUUGAAAGAGACUGAAAGAGUAGGUCACACUGUUCUAUUAAAGCAUAUUUCCUCUUACACUUAGGCAAAGAUAUGAUUUAAGAAUGUGCUCAUCAUGAUAGUCAUGGCUUUUAUGCUGUGAGCUAUUGAAAUAUGAAUGCACUACUAAUUCCUUGCAGCUACUAGACUGUAAAUCAAACAUGCCACUUAGUAAAUGACCCUUAGUCUUUAUUUCUGUUCCUUACCAAAGAUUACUAGCUGUGGGAACUGCAAGAGAACAGAGACACUGAGGAAAAUGCUUUAACUGAUCAUUCCCAUAAGGCAAUCUGUACCAUUUGAAACUCUGUCUCUGUAAUAAAACAUACAAGUUGUUGAAGGAUGAAAAUUUUAGGUAAACAAUUUGUUUGUCAUUUAUAUUUUUGUUCCUUCCAUAGGGUGCUAGGUAAUGGGUUUUUCCUCUACUGAAUUCUUCAGUCCUGUUCAUGGCAUGUCACAAAACAGAAAGAAUAUCAAGUAAAUCUUGUUCAUCACUUGUGCUCAGUAAAGUUGAAGAAAAAUGAUUGAGACAUCAAAGGACAAUAAACUAUCAGAUGAGAAAUGCAGGCUGGAGACAACAGACAAGUGGAGAUUUCUCUACUGGAUACGAGUCAGGCUGUCAGACCCACCUUCCUUCCACCAGAUGACCUUUGAUCACCUGGCCACCACCUCACAACUGUCAUCCUGGUUUUCAUCAGUUCUAAGCAAGCAGAGGUCUACCUCUAAAAAGGAACCCAGCUCCUUGUCUGACUAG
rnacentral:lncRNA from 1 species